rnacentral:rRNA from 1 species
UAAAGCUUAAUUAUUUUUGUCACUUUUAAUUCCUCAUACUAUUACUAACCCUUCAUUUAUACUGAAUUAUUUUAUAAUACUAUAAAAGAUAUCAUGCUAGAACUAGUAACAAGAAAUUGACCUUCUCCUAAAUGUAAGUAUAAGUCAAAAUGGACCAACCAUUGUCAAUUAACGCCAAUGAAUAAAUUAUAGUAACAUAAAACCAGAAUAUCCUAUAAUUCUUACAACGUUAACCUUACACUAGAGCAUUUCAGGAAAGAUUAAAAGAGAAAGAAGGAACUCGGCAAACCUUAGCCCCGCCUGUUUACCAAAAACAUCGCCUCUUGAUAACUUAUAAGAGGUCCAGCCUGCCCAGUGACAAAGUUCAACGGCCGCGGUACCCUAACCGUGCGAAGGUAGCAUAAUCACUUGUUCUUUAAAUAAGGACUAGUAUCAACGGCAUCACGAGGGCUACACUGUCUCCUUUCUCCAAUCAGUGAAACUGAUCUCCCCGUGAAGAAGCGGGGAUUAAUUUAUAAGACGAGAAGACCCCAUGGAGCUUUAAACUCAUCAUACACCUCUGUUUAUCUACAUCAUUAUAACCUAAAAGACUUGUAUGCUAGUUUUAGGUUGGGGGGACCGCGGAGUAAAAAUUAACCUCCGCAACAAAUGGGCUACGCCCUUAUCUAAGAACAACAGUUCUAAGAAUCAACAAACUGAUGUUUAAUGACCCGAAUUAUCGAUCAACGAACCAAGUUACCCUGGGGAUAACAGCGCAAUCUACUUCAAGAGCUCCUAUCGACAAGUGGGUUUACGACCUCGAUGUUGGAUCAGGGUAUCCCAGUGGUGCAGCCGCUACUAAAGGUUCGUUUGUUCAACGAUUAAAAC